rnacentral:rRNA from 2 species
GAACCGCCACACUGGGACUGAGAUACGGCCCAGACUCCUACGGGAGGCAGCAGUAGGGAAUUUUCCACAAUGGGCGAAAGCCUGAUGGAGCGACACAGCGUGUGCGAUGAAGGCCUUCGGGUUGUAAAGCACUGUUAUAAGGGAAGAAAAAGUAGUAUAGGAAAUGAUAUUACCUUGACGGUACCUUGUCAGAAAGCAACGGCUAACUAUGUGCCAGCAGCCGCGGUAAUACAUAGGUUGCAAGCGUUAUCCGGAAUUAUUGGGCGUAAAGCGUCUGUAGGUUGUUUGUUAAGUCUGGUGUGAAAACUUGGGGCUCAACCCCAAAUUGCAUUGGAUACUGGCAAACUAGAGUUAUGUAGAGGUAAGCGGAAUUCCUUGUGAAGCGGUGAAAUGCGUAGAUAUAAGGAAGAACACCAACUUGGCGAAGGCAGCUUACUGGACAUACACUGACACUGAGAGACGAAAGCGUGGGGAGCAAACAGGAUUAGAUACCCUGGUAGUCCACGCUGUAAACGAUGAUGAUUAGCUGAUGGGGAACUCAUCGGCGCAGCUAACGCAUUAAAUCAUCCGCCUGAGUAGUAUGCUCGCAAGAGUGAAACUUAAAGGAAUUGACGGGGAUCCGCACAAGCGGUGGAGCAUGUGGUUUAAUUUGAAGAUACGCGUAGAACCUUACCCACUCUUGACAUCUUCCGCAAAGCUAUAGAGAUAUAGUGGAGGCUAACGGAAUGACAGAUGGUGCAUGGUUGUCGUCAGCUCGUGUCGUGAGAUGUUCGGUUAAGUCCUGCAACGAGCGCAACCCUUGUCCUUAGUUAGAUGAUCUAAGGAGACUGCCCGAGUAAUUGGGAGGAAGGUGGGGACGACGUCAAAUCAUCAUGCCUCUUACGAGUGGGGCAACACACGUGCUACAAUGGACGGUACAAAGAGAAGCAAGACGGCGACGUGGAGCAAAUCUCAAAAAACCGUUCUCAGUUCGGAUUGUAGUC